rnacentral:rRNA from 2 species
UACGGAGGGUGCGAGCGUUAAUCGGAAUUACUGGGCGUAAAGCGCAUGCAGGUGGUUUGUUAAGUCAGAUGUGAAAGCCCGGGGCUCAACCUCGGAACUGCAUUUGAAACUGGCAAACUAGAGUACUGUAGAGGGGGGUAGAAUUUCAGGUGUAGCGGUGAAAUGCGUAGAGAUCUGAAGGAAUACCAGUGGCGAAGGCGGCCCCCUGGACAGAUACUGACACUCAGAUGCGAAAGCGUGGGGAGCAAACAGG